AUAUUUACAGGUCCCACCACGUUAAAGGCACAGUCUGCAACAUUUAAAUGUAGAAUAACUUUAAAAAUGUUUGAUUUUGACCAUCUGACCCAAUUUUAUUAAAAAAAGUAAAUAAUCUUUAAUAUUUCAAUUUUCUCCUAAGUCCCUCCCCUGCCCUGUAGAGCUCAGCCAAUAUUUCUGCAAGCCUAACGCGUUGACCAAUAGCACUGCGUUUCCACCAGGGGGCAGCUGUCAAUCAUCGAGCACGAGCAAGUCUCAGCGUGCACAACAGUGUCACGCGCCUCACUCGGCUUACUGCAGAAACAUGGAGCAACAAAACCCCAAAUUACUGAUUCCUCGACUGCCUUCCACAUCUCAAAAACAUUUAAAAAGUUUAAAAGCCCUUCUUCAAAAGUGGCUGUAAGACGUUUAAGACAGUCGAGUAGAAUUUACAUUGGAGAUUGUUUUACACACGAUGGAGAGAUUUUCGUGAUCUACACGGCCUGAAAACGGAUGAAGAGUUGGCAAAGUAUCUUUUAGACAGUCAUCAGUCCAAAUAUGAAGCAUCAACAUUACACCAUUGAAGCGCCAGCUGUGUAUUUCUCCAACACCAGUGCCAGCUCUGUCUAGCAUUCAUGGAGAAUCAUCUGAAAGGGAUGAUAAUUUGGAGGAGGUGAUGGAACAAGGUGAAACUAAAAAUGAAGGAUCUUCACAAAUGUUAUCUUGUGUGGGAAUUGAAGCAAACAUUGACGAGGAAGAGUUCAACAAUAUUCAAAACUCUGUGAUAGAGUCAUCAGAUGACACAUGGUCACCAAACAGAGAACCAGAAGUUGAUUCGUCUUCAGAGGAGGACGAAACCAUCGAGAUGGACAGCGGUACUGAUGACAGCGGUGAUGAGGACUACACACCUUAUAUACACAUAAGGUAAUUCUUUUCGUUUAACAUUCUAUAAAACUGCAAUAGCGCAUAGUUAAUAAAAAGCUUUUGU